ensembl:lncRNA
UCGUACCAACUUCUCUGCAGUGAUGUCACCUCAAUGUGUGUGGUUAGGAUGUCAUAGUUGAAUGAUAUCUUCCCCUUAUCAGCAUACAAGGUGCAAGGAGAAUUUACGAUAACACUGAGACGAUAUGUUAUUUACUAAAAAUGGCUAUCCAACAUAAAUUAACCAUGAGAGUUAUUGUCUCUGAGGGAGAUAUAAGAAAAAUGAUAACAACAUGACCUGACACAAUGGGUGGUUCAAAGGCACUCUCCAAACAAACUACAGCUUCACUUCACAGUACCAAGAUCCCGAAUUUAACAACGAACUGUGUAAUCUUACAGAUCUCUCUGAGCUCCCAGAGAAGCCAAAUAUCAAAAUUAUCCCUAUGAUUGAGCUCGUACCAAUCACUGCACAAACCAAAUGUUUUAGUGACACAAGCAGCCAGGCAGAUACUGAGAUCCUGUCUAACUCCUCUCUGAAUAGAAGUUCUCAGUGGCCAGAUGUAUUUUACAUUCCAAAAUUUUCUGUUGAUGUUGCGUAUCGACUUCGUCAAGCUAACCUGCUGUAACUCAAGGAUACAACAAAUCUGAACGUUAUGACAGAGCUGAAACAUGAUAUUCUUGAGAAACUGGCAGAGACUAUGUAUGAAUUUAAAGUAUAUCCAGCAAAGGAAGAAUUUGAUGCUGUUGCAAAAGCCUUAGUACAAACACACCUGUGUCUUGAAGAGUCAGGCUCAUCCUCUGGCUAGGAAGGCUGGAAAAAUAGUCCAAAGUUCAAGAUGGGAAAUUAUAGGACCAAAAUGUGACAGCUAGGUCAACUUCAAUGGUGGUAAAUGUGGGAGGCACACUACAAAUGACAACCAUCCCAAUAAAGACAUCAAGAAGCCAAGGAAAGGGGAAAUAAAUGUCCUACCUGAAAAUCCAGAGGGGAUGGAUGACCACAACCUGGAAGGUGUUUGUCAGGUUCUUGUCAGUGAAAUGAUGAAGACAAAGCCAAAUGGAUCCCUUGUUAAGAAACACAUAGACAUGAUGUUUGCUCUCCACAGAAAAGAAGUUGCCAAGCCUGACAUCAGCCAGAUGGUACUUUGAUGGGCAGAUUUUUUUUUACAGAAAGCCAUGUACAGUAUGUGUGACUCUUUUUUUUUUUUUUUUUUAAGUAUUUGAGUAAAUAAAUAGGUAGAAAAUGGGUAUUUAUUACCAUUCAGGAGUGUGUGACCCAAAUCAUGUAGUGUUGGGGGUCAUAGAUGGGGUCAUUUGACCAUGAGCCCACAUGAUUUGCUCUGUUUUAUGUUUCAGGUUUAUUGAGUUCAACAGAGUGAUGGGGAAAAAUCUCAGAGAGAACUUCUUUGAUGCACUUGACUGUUUCUCUCCCAGCAUGAUGGAGCUCUAAUGGAAGAAGAAAGGCCAUCAGACAAAGAUAGACCACUGAGCCAACAGACAUUAGGUGCCUUUGUCUUCGUAGACUGCCGGUCAUUUUGGGAGAUGAUCCUUCUGCCUUCUUCAAGACCUGCUGCGAUGUAACUGACAAGGACUCAUGCAGUCAAACUCCAGUGGGAAUCCUCUGCUUCGAAUCAGACUUCAGUUCGCAUCAGCCACUGCACUGUACUACAUGUCACAUGACAACCUGCACCUGAAUCACGUUUCUGUUAAUGAGCACACUUAUAUAGCAUAUAUAGCCAUUGUUUGCACUGCUUCUCUGUCUUACUUUUAUCUUAGACCACCGUGUUCCAUGUUACCAUAUUUAUUGAUCUUGUUAGUUUGUUUAUUUUUUGCCACAGUAUUAUGCCAAGUUGUCUUAGUGUCUUUGUUUUGUUGUUUGUUUAAUAAAACGUUGUAUAUCGGCGAUUGCUUCCGAAUCUACGUUGAAACAUGACAAGCAUAAAGCAAAGGAAAUUCUCAAUUGGUUUCAGAGAAAAAAAUCAAGGUGUUAGAAAGGCCCAGUCAAUCACCUGACUUCAAUCCAAUUGAACAACAUUUAAAGACAAUAUGUUUAUAAGAAUGGGCCAAAAUCACACCUGAAUACUGUGGCCGAUUAAUUUCUUCACACAGGAAGGGUCUUGAAGCUGUCAUUACAAACAAAGGCUUCU